UACAGCCAUAUCACAUUGAAACACUGGUUCUCAUACAAUCACUGAAGUUAAGCCUGGUCAGUACCUGGAUGGGUGACCAAUUAAGAAUACCAGGUGCUGUAAG